CUAGUAACGGCGAGUGAAGCGGCAACAGCUCAAAUUUGAAAUCUGGCCCUCGGGUCCGAGUUGUAAUUUGUAGAGGAUGCUUUUGGCAAGGUGCCUUCCGAGUUCCCUGGAACGGGACGCCAUAGAGGGUGAGAGCCCCGUCUGGUCGGACACCAAGCCUCUGUAAAGCUCCUUCGACGAGUCGAGUAGUUUGGGAAUGCUGCUCUAAAUGGGAGGUAUAUGUCUUCUAAAGCUAAAUACCGGCCAGAGACCGAUAGCGCACAAGUAGAGUGAUCGAAAGAUGAAAAGCACUUUGAAAAGAGAGUUAAACAGUACGUGAAAUUGUUGAAAGGGAAGCGCUUAUGACCAGACUUGGGCCCGUCGGAUCAACCUGGGUUCUCCCGGGUGCACUCCUUCGGGUUCAGGCCAGCAUCAGUUCGUCGCGGGGGACAAAGGCUUCGGGAACGUGGCUCCCCUCGGGGAGUGUUAUAGCCCGUUGCGUAAUACCCUGCGGUGGACUGAGGACCGCGCUUCGGCAAGGAU
rnacentral:rRNA from 1 species